UACGUAGGGCGCAAGGCGUUAUCCGGAAUUAUUGGGCGUAAAGAGCUCGUAGGCGGUUUGUCGCGUCUGCCGUGAAAGUCCGGGGCUCAACUCCGGAUCUGCGGUGGGUACGGGCAGACUAGAGUGAUGUAGGGGGAGACUGGAAUUCCUGGUGUAGCGGUGAAAUGCGCAGAUAUCAGGAGGAACACCGAUGGCGAAGGCAGGUCUCUGGGCAUUAACUGACGCUGAGGAGCGAAAGCAUGGGGGAGCGAACAGG
rnacentral:rRNA from 1 species